AAACUUCUUUUGAACGGGAGAAACCCCUCGUACGUGUACGGGGCUGAUAGUACCGUUAGAAUAAGGGUCGGCUAACUUCGUGCCAGCAGCCGCGGUAAUACGAAGGACCCGAGCGUUAUCCGGAUUCAUUGGGUUUAAAGGGAGCGUAGGCGGAAUGAUAAGUCAGUGGUGAAAUCCUGCAGCUUAACUGCAGAACUGCCAUUGAUACUGUCGUUCUUGAAUACAACUGAUGUGGGCGGAAUGUGCCAUGUAGUGGUGAAAUACUUAGAUAUGGCACAGAACACCGAUUGCGAAGGCAGCUCACAAAAUUGUUAUUGACGCUGAGGCUCGAAAGCGUGGGGAUCAAACAGGAUUAGAUACCCUGGUAGUCCACGCCCUAAA
rnacentral:rRNA from 1 species